rnacentral:rRNA from 1 species
UGGGGAAUAUUGGACAAUGGGCGCAAGCCUGAUCCAGCCAUACCGCGUGGGUGAAGAAGGCCUUCGGGUUGUAAAGCCCUUUUGUUGGGAAAGAAAUCCAGCCGGUUAGUACCUGGUUGGGAUGACGGUACCCAAAGAAUAAGCACCGGCUAACUUCGUGCCAGCAGCCGCGGCAAUACGAAGGGUGCAAGCGUUACUCGGAAUUACUGGGCGUAAAGCGUGCGUAGGUGGUCGUUUAAGUCCGUUGUGAAAGCCCUGGGCUCAACCUGGGAACUGCAGUGGAUACUGGGCGACUAGAGUGUGGUAGAGGGUAGCGGAAUUCCUGGUGUAGCAGUGAAAUGCGUAGAGAUCAGGAGGAACAUCCAUGGCGAAGGCAGCUACCUGGACCAACACUGACACUGAGGCACGAAAGCGUGGGGAGCAAACAGGAUUAGAUACCCUGGUAGUCCACGCCCUAAACGAUGCGAACUGGAUGUUGGGUGCAAUUUUGGCACGCAGUAUCGAAGCUAACGCGUAAGUCGCCGCCUGGGAGUACGGUCGCAAGACUGAAACUCAAAUGAAUUGACGGGGUCAUAGC